AUUGAACGCUGGCGGCAUGCCUUACACAUGCAAGUCGAACGGCAGCACGGGAGCUUGCUCCUGGUGGCGAGUGGCGAACGGGUGAGUAAUACAUCGGAACGUACCCAGGAGUGGGGGAUAACGUAGCGAAAGUUACGCUAAUACCGCAUAUUCUGUGAGCAGGAAAGCGGGGGAUCGCAAGACCUCGCGCUCUUGGAGCGGCCGAUGUCGGAUUAGCUAGUUGGUGAGGUAAAAGCUCACCAAGGCGACGAUCCGUAGCAGGUCUGAGAGGAUGAUCUGCCACACUGGGACUGAGACACGGCCCAGACUCCUACGGGAGGCAGCAGUGGGGAAUUUUGGACAAUGGGUGCAACCCUGAUCCAGCCAUGCCGCGUGAGUGAAGAAGGCCUUCGGGUUGUAAAGCUCUUUCGGCGGGGAAGAAAUGGCAACGGCUAAUAUCCGUUGUUGAUGACGGUACCCGCAUAAGAAGCACCGGCUAACUACGUGCCAGCCGCCGCCGUAAUAC
rnacentral:rRNA from 1 species